GCCGGCGGCGGCGGUCCGGUGACCGGCCGGCGACACUCCGGCGAGGCCCCGAGAGACAGAAUGCUCUUCCCUUCGCGCUGAUCGUGGAAUCGUCGCCCUAUUCGCAAUUGGAAGUAAGUUCCUCUUUAGUUCGAAUUAGGUUACGUUUCUUUGACGCAAGGCAUCAAAGAAAUUUUCCUUAAUUCCAUAAUUAUUUCAGUAUGUAACUGUAUGUAUAAAAGGCUAUGUAUAUCAAAUAGUUAGUGACUCCGCAGUUGUAGAAUUUACUUACCUUUAGUCGUGUAUUAUCGUAGACGAAAUGAUGCUUUGAGCCUAUAUUAGAAAUGAGAUGAAAUAAAAUCUUGAGGCUUAUUUUUUUAAUA